AGAAAAGACCCUAAGAAGUAUGAUUUCCAAAUUGAAUCUUCAGCUCCCUCUACUGAAAAUGUUCCGCCUUGUGCCCACCAACAAUUAACUUUGCUUCCUUCUCCUAUGGGUAAUUAAUUCUCCAUCAUUGGUCUUCUACUUUGUUGCCAAUAUCAGUUGACAAAGGUGUACUGCCCAUUUUGGAUUUGGCUUCUGAGGAGCUUGGUAGUACUUAGGAACCCUGUAUUUCAGCUUUGAAGAUAUGUGUAAUGUAGGGAUUGGGAGAUGGUGAUAUGUCAUGGUUACUUGAUAGGCUUCUAAGUGUUGACGAUGAAGACUUGGUGAGUCCUCAUAGAUUCGAGGACAAUACCCCACAUUUUCCUUUUGAUGUAUUUCUAGUAUCUUUUUUAAGUCUUGUAUGGGCUUAGUCCCAUUGUUGUAUUCAAGUAUUAGAUGGUUUUGAGACAUCAUGUAUAAAGUCUAGAAUGUCUUCCGCUUGUUAUUUAAUGAAAGUAUCUUCGUGUGUGAAGAAAGUUUUUAAUUACUUAUGGUUUUUA